rnacentral:rRNA from 1 species
GAAUAUUGCACAAUGGAGGGAACUCUGAUGCAGCGACGCCGCGUGAGCGAUGAAGGCUUUCGGGUCGUAAAGCUCUGUCCUAGGGGACGAUAAUGACGGUACCCUAGGAGGAAGCCCCGGCUAACUACGUGCCAGCAGCCGCGGUAAUACGUAGGGGGCGAGCGUUGUCCGGAAUUAUUGGGCGUAAAGGGUACGUAGGCGGCCAUGUAAGUCAGAUGUGAAAGACAUAGGCUUAACUUAUGUAAGCAUUUGAAACUGCGUGGCUUGAGUUAAGGAGAGGAAAGUGGAAUUCCUAGUGUAGCGGUGAAAUGCGUAGAUAUUAGGAAGAAUAUCAGUGGCGAAGGCGACUUUCUGGACUUAUACUGACGCUGAGGUACGAAAGCGUGGGGAGCAAACA